rnacentral:sRNA from 1 species
GCCAGGCAUGGUGGCAUGUUCCUGUAAUCCCAGCUACCUGGGAGGCUGAGGCAGGAGAAUUGCUUGAGCCUGGGAGGCAGAGGUUACAGUGAGCCGAGAUCCUGCCACUGCACUCCAGCCUGGGAGACAGAGUGAGACUUUGUCUCAAAAAAAAAAAAAAAUUGUUGUUGAGAUGGAGUCUUGCUCUUUUGCCCAGUCUGGAGUGCAGUGGCACAACCUCGGCUCACUGCAACUUCCACCUCUCAGGUUCAAGCAAUUCUUUUGUCUCA